rnacentral:tRNA from 1 species
UGGGGUUGUGGCUCAGUGGUAGAGUGCUUGCCUAGCAUGCAUGAGGCACUGGGUUUGAUCCUCAGCACCACAA